GACGUAGGGCGCGAGCGUUGUCCGGAAUUAUUGGGCGUAAAGAGCUCGUAGGCGGUCUGUCGCGUCGGUCGUGAAAACCUGCAGCUUAACUGUGGGCGUGCGGUCGAUACGGGCAUGACUGGAGUUCGGCAGGGGGAGACUGGAAUUCCUGGUGUAGCGGUGAAAUGCGCAGAUAUCAGGAGGAACACCGGUGGCGAAGGCGGGUCUCUGGGCCGAUACUGAUGCUGAGGAGCGAAAGCGUGGGGAGCGAACAGG
rnacentral:rRNA from 1 species